rnacentral:rRNA from 1 species
GAUGAACGCUGGCGGCGUGCCUAAUACAUGCAAGUCGAGCGAAUGGAUUAAGAGCUUGCUCUUAUGAAGUUAGCGGCGGACGGGUGAGUAACACGUGGGUAACCUGCCCAUAAGACUGGGAUAACUCCGGGAAACCGGGGCUAAUACCGGAUAACAUUUUGAACCGCAUGGUUCGAAAUUGAAAGGCGGCGUCGGCUGGAACUUAUUGAUGGACCCGCGUCGCAUUAGCUAGUUGGUGAGGUAACGGCCCACCAAGGCAACGAUGCGUAGCCGACCUGAGAGGGUGAUCGGCCACACUGGGACUGAGACACGGCCCAGACUCCUACGGGAGGCAGCAGUAGGGAAUCUUCCGCAAUGGACGAAAGUCUGACGGAGCAACGCCGCGUGAGUGAUGAAGGCUUUCGGGUCGUAAAACUCUGUUGUUAGGGAAGAACAAGUGCUAGUUGAAUAAGCUGACACCUUGACGGUACCUAACCAGAAAGCCACGGCUAACUACGUGCCAGCCGCCGCAGUAA